rnacentral:lncRNA from 1 species
GUUUGUACCAGGUGCUGUCAUGCUACAGAAGAUUGAACAGAACUUGUCAAGAGGUGUUCAAAAAUGAUGUCGUGAUGCUUGAAGCGGCCAGGAGAAAGAUGAAGGAAGAUUUCAGACGGAAUAAAACAGAGAAUAAUCCGGACAAGAUCGAGGAACUACUGAAAACAGCUGUGGAAUCAGAAGAGGUGUUACGGCGUCUUAUUGUGCAGGGUGUCCGUAAAUCUGAUGGCACGUAUAAACUAAACUUUAGAGAUGAUACAGUGCUUGAGGAUAACGCACCCUUACCAAAGCGAUGAUGUAUUGAAUCAUUUUUAACCCAUUAUAGGUGUAAAAAUAUUCUGUUUCUGCUCAGCGCGCGUGCGUCAUUUUUAACCCAUUAAAGCACAGAGGAGAGACAUACAGAGUUGUAACUAGUGUACCCACUUUUUUCGUGCGCAUGCUCGGCAAGUUACUGCAUCUGAUUGGAUGACGACCUGAUGACGAC